GCAAGUGGCACGUGGUCAUGGCGUGCCGCGACUUCCUCAAGGCCUCCAAGGCGGCCAAGGCUGCCGGCAUGGCUGACGGGAGCUACACCAUCAUGCACCUCGACCUCGCCUCGCUCGACAGCGUCCGGCAGUUCGUCGACGCGUUCCGCCGCGCCGAGAUGCCGCUGGACGUGCUCGUGUGCAACGCCGCCAUCUACCGCCCCACGGCGCGCACGCCGACAUUCACCGCCGACGGGCACGAGAUGAGCGUGGGCGUGAACCACCUCGGCCACUUCCUGCUCGCCCGCCUCCUCAUGGAGGACCUUCAGAAGUCCGACUACCCGUCCCGCCGCAUGGUCAUCGUCGGCUCCAUCACCGGCAACAGCAACACGCUGGCGGGCAACGUGCCGCCCAAGGCCAGCCUCGGUGACCUCCGCGGGCUCGCUGGCGGCCUCAGCGGCACGUCGGGCUCGGCCAUGAUCGACGGGGACGAGAGCUUCGACGGCGCCAAGGCGUACAAGGACAGCAAGGUGUGCAACAUGCUGACCAUGCAGGAGUUCCACCGGCGGUACCACGAGGAGACCGGCAUCACCUUCUCCUCGCUCUACCCCGGCUGCAUCGCCACCACGGGGCUGUUCCGGGAGCACAUCCCGCUGUUCCGCACGCUCUUCCCGCCGUUCCAGAAGUUCAUCACGAAGGGGUUCGUCUCGGAGGCGGAGUCCGGCAAGAGGCUGGCGCAGGUGGUGGCGGAGCCCAGCCUGACCAAGUCCGGCGUGUACUGGAGCUGGAACAAGGACUCGGCGUCCUUCGAGAACCAGCUCUCGCAGGAGGCCAGCGACCCCGAGAAGGCCCGCAAGGUCUGGGAGCUCAGCGAGAAGCUCGUCGGACUCGCCUGAUCUCCCACCCACCUCCGGCUCCGGCCACGUCCAGGCAAUGCAUGCAUCUAGGACGCCGAUGCUGAACUUGUCGCAUUUUUUAACGUUGGUAAUUACCAUUUUUACGUCUUUUUAGAAACUCAAUUACCCGGGAGAGGCCUUGCGAGUGUCGGCGAGAGUGCAUAGAUCUCGUGUGGAAGAUGUACAAUUUUCGGCGAACCAUGAAUAAUAAAACUGCAGGCCUGAUUGAGGAUGGCAUACAUUGUAGUCUGGAUUGAUUGAUUGAGUUGCUUAUUUUUAACAUUUCACUGCACAUUUAAAAAAUAAUAAAACAGAGCGUAUGGUUCUGUCUAAGAGCAUCUCCAACAACCGCGCUACGCGCUUUUUAGCGCGACUCGCCAUGGAUGAUUAGUGGAUGGAUGGGACUCGACACCUCGCACCAUAGCUCUGGCCCCUUGCAACACCGUCGGCUACCUUGGAGCAUCAUGUCGACAUCGUUGAACCGCCCCUGGUAGUCCCUAUCGAUCUCACCUGGCUUGCAGCACGGGUGUCACACUAUUGUAGCUUGCAGACACCCCAGGUGCAGCUCCUGCCAUGUAGCCGGUUCGAGGAAGCAACAAUGCCGACCAUGGCACAAGGAGGAGCAUUUGACUCCGACGCCUCGCCGGGGACCCUGAUGUCAUCGCAGUUGCCCAAAUUGCAUGUCCGCCAACGCAGCAAAUCAUGCCGCUGAUCCCCGCAAAUCGCUUCGUCAGUUAUAGCUUUCACGUCACGGGGUCUGCCUAUGCAACAACAUGAAGCAUCAGUUCCAGCAAAACUCGCCAACGGAUCCAGCAAAUAACAUCAUCGAUUGUAGCAUCAACGUCGCAUGGUCUGCCUACUCAACAGAAAAAUCAAGCACCAGUUCCAGAAUAACUCAUCGACUGCUCGAGGAAAUCAUGUCGCUAGUUGUAUCAUCUACAUCGCAUGGUCUGCCUACGCAACAAAAAUGAGCAUAUGUUCCAGCAAAACUUGCAAAUGGUUGCAUCUUUUUGACGGUCGGUUUUAGCAUCUCACCGGUUUCGCCAGGACCUCACCUCCACCCGUUGCAGCUUCUGAUGGCGCCAGUCGCAGCUUCCGAAGGUGCCGGAUGCAACUUUACCACGGUUGGUUGCAGCACAGGUGUUGGUCCUCUGCUUGAGGGGGGGCAUGGGGAUUUGCGAGAGAAGCAUGCGGGAGGUCCUUGGGCCCUGGCAUGGUAAAGGAGAGGACGCCAUGGGAUUAGCGAGUGAUAGAGAAAGGGUGAGGAAGAUCGUCGGCCUGUUUAGGAGAGGGAGUCAUGAGGGGAUUUGGGGACAUCGAUGCUGAAGGGAUGCAUGGCCUCAACCAUGAGAAUGAGAGAGACAAUGGAUACAAGGGGAUCUGCGUCGAGGAAGAAGAUAAGGAGGAACGGGAUAGUGGUGUGCGGUCCCCACAACCAAUGGACCGGUGGAGGACACGUGGUCUGUUGGAUCAAGUUAGAUCCAACGACCAACACGUGAUCGGCGUGCAACUUCGGCCGGAUAGCAUCAUUUAUUUAAUUUUUUAUCAACUCCUUUGAGUUUUAUGUACAUAUUUAUCACCCUUUUAGGUUUGUGGGGGAAGUAUGGUGCGAAGGAGACAUGGUGCCAUGGCAAAGGUGAGGUGGACGUCAUCCGGUUUUAAAGGAGAAGACUUCAGCGAGAAAUGUCCCGCUAUGGCAUGAAAUCGAGCGCGAAGGUAAGGGUUCUGCGAGAAAAGGGAAGGGUGCAUCAUUGGGUGCGGUUUUUGUAUUGGAACUGUGUGUUAGUGGUAACGUGACGGAUAGUUCGGACAACCACAUUUCUCCCCCACAUAUGGGCUUGAUUUGGGGAGCUCAGACUGUCCAAAAGAUUGACUUUUGGGGAGCCUACUGGGCACCCAUUUGGUGUCCAAACAAUCCCAAACGUAUGAGGGAGAAAUGACCUUCGACCUUGAAGACGGCCUCAAUCAUUUGUUUGAUUUAUUUAUAUGCAUUGUAGCCUGUAGCAACGCACGAGCAUUCUACUAGUUGUACUUGCUCUAAUAUAUGGAGAAGGGAAAUCAUGGGCUGCCCAGCCCAUCAUGACGGAUCACCACGAUAUCGCUUUAGAAUUCAAUUUGCAUUCACUUUUUUUGAGUGGGGUGAUUUUUUUGUUAGGGAACGUAGUAAUUUCAAAAAAAUUCCUACGCACACGCAAGAUCAUGGUGAUGCAUAGCAACGAGAGGGGAGAGUGUUGUCCACGUACCCUCGUAGACCGACAGCGGAAGCGUUAUCACAACGCGGUUGAUGUAGUCGUACGUCUUCACGAUCCGACCGAUCAAGUACCGAAUGUACGGCACCUCCGAGUUCUACACACGUUCAGCUCGAUGACGUCCCUCGAACUCCGAUCCAGCCGAGUGUUGAGGGAGAGUUUCGUCAGCACGACGGCAUGGUGACGAUGAUGAUGUUCCACCGACGCAGGGCUUCGCCUAAGCUCCGCAACGGUAUUAUCGAGGUGUUAUAUGGUGGAGGGGGGCACCGCACACGGCUAAGAGAUCUCAAGGAUCAAUUGUUGUGUCUCUGGGGUGCCCCCCUGCCCCCGUAUAUAAAGGAGCAAGGGGGAGGCAGCCGGCCAAGGGGAGAGGCGCGCCAUAGGGGGGAGUCCUACUCCCACUGGGAGUAGGACUCCUCCUUUCCUUGUGGGAGUAGGAGAAGGGAAGGGGGAAGGAGAAAGAAGGAAGGGUGCGCCCCCCUUCCCUAGUCCAAUUCGGACCAGACCAUGGGGAGGGGUGCGGCCACCUUUUGAGGCCUUUCUCUCCUUUCCCGUAUGGCCCAUUAAGGCCCAAUACGAAUUCCCGUAACUCUCCGGUACUCCGAAAAAUACCCGAAUAACUCGGAACCUUUCCGAAGUCCGAAUAUAGUCGUCCAAUAUAUCGAUUUUUACGUCUCAACCACUUCGAGACUCCUCGUCAUAUCCCCGAUCUCAUCCGGGACUCCGAACUCCUUCGGUUUCAUCAAAACUCAAUAAAACUGUCAUCGUAACGUUAAGCGUGCGGACCCUACGGGUUCGAGAACUAUGUAGACAUGACCGAGACACGUUUCCGGUCAAUAACCAAUAGAGGGACCUGGAUGCCCAUAUUGGCUCCCACAUAUUCUACGAAGAUCUUUAUCGGUCAGACCGCAUAACAACAUACGUUGUUCCCUUUGUCACCGGUAUGUUACUUGCCCGAGAUUUGAUCGUCGGUAUCUCGAUACCUAGUUCAAUCUCGUUACCGGCAAGUUUCUUUACUCGUUCCGUAACACAUCAUCCCGCAACUAACUCAUUAGUCACAAUGCUUGCAAGGCUUAUAGUGAUGUGCAUUACCGAGUGGGCCCAGAGAUACCUCUCCGACAAUCGGAGUGACAAAUCCUAAUCUCGAAAUACGCCAACCCAACAAGUACCUUUGGAGACACCUGUAGAGCACCUUUAUAAUCACCCAUUUACGUUGUGACGUUUGGUAUCACACAAAGUGUUCCUCUGGUAAACGGGAGUUGCAUAAUCUCUUAGUCAUAGGAACAUGUAUAAGUCAUGAAGAAAGCAAUAGCAACAUACUAAACGAUCGAGUGCUAAGCUAACGGAAUGGGUCAAGUCAAUCACGUCAUUCUCCUAAUGAGGUGAUCUCGUUAAUCAAAUGACAACUCAUGUCUAUGGCUAGGAAACAUAACCAAAGACAUAAUUACCUCUUGAUAGGAAUCGGUCAUUUUCAAAUGAUCACAAAGACAACUUUCAAGUUUGUCAAAUGUGUGGUUAUAUAAAUAUCAUACCUAUGACCACCAAACCCUCAAACAUAUGGUCAAACCACACCACAUAUUUAUUAAAAAGGCAAUAAGUUCAAUGGGAUAAACCUGAAAAUUUGCAAAUAACAACCAGAAAUAUUCUGGUAAAGCAUUGUUAUCAGAAUCUUCAUCACAAGGAGGACCAAAAUUGAGUGCAGAAAAUGGAGGAUGAACUCAUUUGCACUCAAUAAUAUCGGAGACCUCAGGUAAUCUCCUAAUUAUCCCAACAUAUUAUUAGCCUAUACUUGUACUACUACAUGUAGUAAAAUGUCCAAUAUCAUAUCCCUUGGAUGCAAUAUUCAAUAAAUUUGAAUGUAUGUUUCAAUUCAUACUCCAUAUUCUUGCGUACACAAUGAUAUUCUAAGUACUAAUAAAUUAAAUAUUAGGCUUGAUAGCCUUAGCCAUCCUGGUUUGGGGAUGAUUAGAAAAUUAUUGAUAAUUCUGUUGGUCACAAAUUAAAAGUUACAAAUUCUCCAUAUCAUCAUAUUAUAUGUGCACCGCAUGUGCCAUAGGGGGAAUUAUUUUUAAGGAACUCUCACCUUAAAAUUCUAAAUGAGCCACUCAAUCUUCCCUGAAUACAUUCAGGGAUAUAUGUGGAUUAGUUAACCAUUAUGUGGAAUUAUUUAGAUACUACAUGGUACUCAUAGAAACAUUUAUAAAAUGAUUUCAAGUGUGCCUCUUAUCACACACAACCAUGCAUGAUCUUACUAAAUAGAUUGCUCAACUUAUCAAAGUAGGAGCAAAUUCUCCCGAACAAAGGAUAAACCCAUUCGAAUGGACAAUGUUGUUGAACUCAUUUCACGAGAAUUUUCUGAUUGCAUUCAUUACCCUAUGUACAUACCCAGAAUGGUUUAACUAAAUUUCUUAUCAAAGAUAGUCAAAUGAAUUACAUGACCACUUUUAAAGAAUUGUAAAUUUACUAGCCUCUUGUUGGACGCAUACGACCUUACACACCGUAAGUAUGAUCUAAAUCAUACCAACUGCAUUUCACACUACUUUCCCCUUGUAGUAACUACGUGGAAAUCAACAAAGUAUUUCCCAUCUGUGAUAAUUUGGUUACAUACCGAUAUCACUACUCCAGCAUACAUCAAUAGGCACUCACAGAAGAUUAGGGAUCUAUGUGAGGAAUAACAAUUUAUCCAUCCAUCAAAAUUAUUCAUAGCCCGUAUGCUGAUUGCAUCAGCAAUAAGGAUAUUUUCCGGCAUUAGGGGGAGAUAAGUACCACAAGGAUUGCCGAGAAAUAAAUUAGAAAUGUUAGUGACAUUCAAUCCUUAUAUCCACGUACUCAAAGAAUCUGAACUAGAAGUUUAGAGAAUCAUAUAUUUGCAACACAUUGUAAAUCUGCCACAUACAUUUACUGAUGACAAGGUGUCACUAAAUUUUAUAUUCCUGCAAUAAUGGUCAGAAAGAGUGGUGGUGCCUAAUAAACCACUCUUCUCCCCAAAUGAGAGCAAGAGGGGGAGAAAAUCUGACAACACGAGAUAUAACUUCUUAUAUGCUUCCGCGGAAACAGAGGAAAUCAAAUCCUCAACCAGUAAAUGUAAUUCAACAUCAAGUUGAAAGACACCUCACUGGAUGCUCAUCAUCCAAAGCCCGGCAUAAAUGUGCACAAAUAUUUUGUUGCCGGGACAUCAAAACACCUUGACUCCAUUUGUUGUAGGAAAUCACAAGGAGUUAAAAAGGAAUAAACAUAUUAUCCACAAACUUCAAUGAUUCCAUCAGAAUCAUAUAAAAUAAAGACUACAUUUGUCGACAUAUAUUUCUUCUCAAAUUGCUAAAACCUUUUGGGCCCAGAACCAAAAUCCAUGGUAGAGUGCCUCUUGCACUCAUAUUGGUUCGAGUUAAUUGCAAGGAAGUACCACACUUGGGGCAGUUGUAACGGAUCAGUACCACUAUUCAGAUUUUUUGCAAGUCAGUACUACGUUUGAGGCUAAUCAUUGCAAAACGAGCUAAACGCCGUAUAACGCAGUAUUGACGCUGUAUCUGACCACGCGCCCCACCUGUCAGGUGACACGUGGCAUAUUGUUUUUGCAGAUAAGACCCCCGCAUUGCACUUAAUGACGCAAAUGCCCCCGCAAUGUUUAUAAAAAGAAUUGCGCGUGCCGGGGAUUCGAACCCACGCGGUCCCGGUUUCGACGAAGAGGCCCUGCCACUACGCUAGCCCAUGUUGGCUGUUGUAAUAGUAUAGUUGGUUUGUAUAUUACGUAACCGUUAAAUAAAUAAAACAAACAGAAAAAAACUCGCGUUUGCGCUGAUUCGAACCUGCGCCUGCGACUAAAAGAAAGAACGCGNNNNNNNNNNNNNNNNNNNNNNNNNNNNNNNNNNNNNNNNNNNNNNNNNNNNNNNNNNNNNNNNNNNNNNNNNNNNNNNNNNNNNNNNNNNNNNNNNNNNNNNNNNNNNNNNNNNNNNNNNNNNNNNNNNNNNNNNNNNNNNNNNNNNNNNNNNNNNNNNNNNNNNNNNNNNNNNNNNNNNNNNNNNNNNNNNNNNNNNNNNNNNNNNNNNNNNNNNNNNNNNNNNNNNNNNNNNNNNNNNNNNNNNNNNNNNNNNNNNNNNNNNNNNNNNNNNNNNNNNNNNNNNNNNNNNNNNNNNNNNNNNNNNNNNNNNNNNNNNNNNNNNNNNNNNNNNNNNNNNNNNNNNNNNNNNNNNNNNNNNNNNNNNNNNNNNNNNNNNNNNNNNNNNNNNNNNNNNNNNNNNNNNNNNNNNNNNNNNNNNNNNNNNNNNNNNNNNNNNNNNNNNNNNNNNNNNNNNNNNNNNNNNNNNNNNNNNNNNNNNNNNNNNNNNNNNNNNNNNNNNNNNNNNNNNNNNNNNNNNNNNNNNNNNNNNNNNNNNNNNNNNNNNNNNNNNNNNNNNNNNNNNNNNNNNNNNNNNNNNNNNNNNNNNNNNNNNNNNNNNNNNNNNNNNNNNNNNNNNNNNNNNNNNNNNNNNNNNNNNNNNNNNNNNNNNNNNAACCAAAGACAUAAUUACCUCUUGAUAGGAAUCGGUCAUUUUCAAAUGAUCACAAAGACAACUUUCAAGUUUGUCAAAUGUGUGGUUAUAUAAAUAUCAUACCUAUGACCACCAAACCCUCAAACAUAUGGUCAAACCACACCACAUAUUUAUUAAAAAGGCAAUAAGUUCAAUGGGAUAAACCUGAAAAUUUGCAAAUAACAACCAGAAAUAUUCUGGUAAAGCAUUGUUAUCAGAAUCUUCAUCACAAGGAGGACCAAAAUUGAGUGCAGAAAAUGGAGGAUGAACUCAUUUGCACUCAAUAAUAUCGGAGACCUCAGGUAAUCUCCUAAUUAUCCCAACAUAUUAUUAGCCUAUACUUGUACUACUACAUGUAGUAAAAUGUCCAAUAUCAUAUCCCUUGGAUGCAAUAUUCAAUAAAUUUGAAUGUAUGUUUCAAUUCAUACUCCAUAUUCUUGCGUACACAAUGAUAUUCUAAGUACUAAUAAAUUAAAUAUUAGGCUUGAUAGCCUUAGCCAUCCUGGUUUGGGGAUGAUUAGAAAAUUAUUGAUAAUUCUGUUGGUCACAAAUUAAAAGUUACAAAUUCUCCAUAUCAUCAUAUUAUAUGUGCACCGCAUGUGCCAUAGGGGGAAUUAUUUUUAAGGAACUCUCACCUUAAAAUUCUAAAUGAGCCACUCAAUCUUCCCUGAAUACAUUCAGGGAUAUAUGUGGAUUAGUUAACCAUUAUGUGGAAUUAUUUAGAUACUACAUGGUACUCAUAGAAACAUUUAUAAAAUGAUUUCAAGUGUGCCUCUUAUCACACACAACCAUGCAUGAUCUUACUAAAUAGAUUGCUCAACUUAUCAAAGUAGGAGCAAAUUCUCCCGAACAAAGGAUAAACCCAUUCGAAUGGACAAUGUUGUUGAACUCAUUUCACGAGAAUUUUCUGAUUGCAUUCAUUACCCUAUGUACAUACCCAGAAUGGUUUAACUAAAUUUCUUAUCAAAGAUAGUCAAAUGAAUUACAUGACCACAUUUAAAGAAUUGUAAUUACAUGACAUUCAAUCCUUAUAUCCACGUACUCAAAGAAUCUGAACUAGAAGUUUAGAGAAUCAUAUAUUUGCAACACAUUGUAAAUUUACAAUUCUUUAAAAGUGGUCAUGUAAUUCAUUUGACUAUCUUUGAUAAGAAAUUUAGUUAAACCAUUCUGGGUAUGUACAUAGGGUAAUGAAUGCAAUCAGAAAAUUCUCGUGAAAUGAGUUCAACAACAUUGUCCAUUCGAAUGGGUUUAUCCUUUGUUCGGGAGAAUUUGCUCCUACUUUGAUAAGUUGAGCAAUCUAUUUAGUAAGAUCAUGCAUGGUUGUGUGUGAUAAGAGGCACACUUGAAAUCAUUUUAUAAAUGUUUCUAUGAGUACCAUGUAGUAUCUAAAUAAUUCCACAUAAUGGUUAACUAAUCCACAUAUAUCCCUGAAUGUAUUCAGGGAAGAUUGAGUGGCUCAUUUAGAAUUUUAAGGUGAGAGUUCCUUAAAAAUAAUUCCCCCUAUGGCACAUGCGGUGCACAUAUAAUAUGAUGAUAUGGAGAAUUUGUAACUUUUAAUUUGUGACCAACAGAAUUAUCAAUAAUUUUCUAAUCAUCCCCAAACCAGGAUGGCUAAGGCUAUCAAGCCUAAUAUUUAAUUUAUUAGUACUUAGAAUAUCAUUGUGUACGCAAGAAUAUGGAGUAUGAAUUGAAACAUACAUUCAAAUUUAUUGAAUAUUGCAUCCAAGGGAUAUGAUAUUGGACAUUUUACUACAUGUAGUAGUACAAGUAUAGGCUAAUAAUAUGUUGGGAUAAUUAGGAGAUUACCUGAGGUCUCCGAUAUUAUUGAGUGCAAAUGAGUUCAUCCUCCAUUUUCUGCACUCAAUUUUGGUCCUCCUUGUGAUGAAGAUUCUGAUAACAAUGCUUUACCAGAAUAUUUCUGGUUGUUAUUUGCAAAUUUUCAGGUUUAUCCCAUUGAACUUAUUGCCUUUUUAAUAAAUAUGUGGUGUGGUUUGACCAUAUGUUUGAGGGUUUGGUGGUCAUAGGUAUGAUAUUUAUAUAACCACACAUUUGACAAACUUGAAAGUUGUCUUUGUGAUCAUUUGAAAAUGACCGAUUCCUAUCAAGAGGUAAUUAUGUCUUUGGUUGUCUAUUAGCCUCCACUUUACUUCGUAUUCCUCAUUUGAAAAUUGUUCAUCGUACAUUAUACAAGAAUGUUCAGUGUUUAUUUAUAGAAUAAUGUUCAGUGUGUAUUUACAACCUUUUUUGCAUACUAAACCUAUAUAAAAAACUGUAAAAAAAUUGAAAACAUGAAAAUCCGAAGAAUACCAAAGAUCUGAAAAAGAUAAAAGAAAUCAGAAACAAAAAAAACACGUACAAAAAAAGGAAUUUAUGCAUUUUUUUAAAAAGUUCCCCGUAUAUUUAUGUUCAGUUUGUAUAACAAAAUUGUUCAUCGUACAUUAUACAAGAAUGUUUAGUGUUUAUUUAUAUAAUAAUGUUUAGUUUGUAUUUAAAAAAAUAUUGCAUACUAAACCUAUAUAAAAAAGAAAUGCGAAACAAAAAACAUAAUUAAAAGUGAAAAAAGACCAGGACGUGUCCAAACUAGAUGUAAGAAUGCCACUAGGCUGACGCGGGCAUCUGUCUAGAGCAGUGGCUGGCGCGUUCUUUCUUUUAGUCGCAGGCGCAGGUUCGAAUCAGCGCAAACGCGAGUUUUUUUCUGUUUGUUUUAUUUAUUUAACGGUUACGUAAUAUACAAACCAACUAUACUAUUACAACAGCCAACAUGGGCUAGCGUAGUGGCAGGGCCUCUUCGUCGAAACCGGGACCGCGUGGGUUCGAAUCCCCGGCACGCGCAAUUCUUUUUAUAAACAUUGCGGGGGCAUUUGCGUCAUUAAGUGCAAUGCGGGGGUCUUAUCUGCAAAAACAAUAUGCCACGUGUCACCUGACAGGUGGGGCGCGUGGUCAGAUACAGCGUCAAUACUGCGUUAUACGGCGUUUAGCUCGUUUUGCAAUGAUUAGCCUCAAACGUAGUACUGACUUGCAAAAAAUCUGAAUAGUGGUACUGAUCCGUUACAACUGCCCCAAGUGUGGUACUUCCUUGCAAUUAACUCGAACCAAUAUGAGUGCAAGAGGCACUCUACCAUGGAUUUUGGUUCUGGGCCCAAAAGGUUUUAGCAAUUUGAGAAGAAAUAUAUGUCGACAAAUGUAGUCUUUAUUUUAUAUGAUUCUGAUGGAAUCAUUGAAGUUUGUGGAUAAUAUGUUUAUUCCUUUUUAACUCCUUGUGAUUUCCUACAACAAAUGGAGUCAAGGUGUUUUGAUGUCCCGGCAACAAAAUAUUUGUGCACAUUUAUGCCGGGCUUUGGAUGAUGAGCAUCCAGUGAGGUGUCUUUCAACUUGAUGUUGAAUUACAUUUACUGGUUGAGGAUUUGAUUUCCUCUGUUUCCGCGGAAGCAUAUAAGAAGUUAUAUCUCGUGUUGUCAGAUUUUCUCCCCCUCUUGCUCUCAUUUGGGGAGAAGAGUGGUUUAUUAGGCACCACCACUCUUUCUGACCAUUAUUGCAGGAAUAUAAAAUUUAGUGACACCUUGUCAUCAGUAAAUGUAUGUGGCAGAUUUACAAUGUGUUGCAAAUAUAUGAUUCUCUAAACUUCUAGUUCAGAUUCUUUGAGUACGUGGAUAUAAGGAUUGAAUGUCACUAACAUUUCUAAUUUAUUUCUCGGCAAUCCUUGUGGUACUUAUCUCCCCCUAAUGCCGGAAAAUAUCCUUAUUGCUGAUGCAAUCAGCAUACGGGCUAUGAAUAAUUUUGAUGGAUGGAUAAAUUGUUAUUCCUCACAUAGAUCCCUAAUCUUCUGUGAGUGCCUAUUGAUGUAUGCUGGAGUAGUGAUAUCGGUAUGUAACCAAAUUAUCACAGAUGGGAAAUACUUUGUUGAUUUCCACGUAGUUACUACAAGGGGAAAGUAGUGUGAAAUGCAGUUGGUAUGAUUUAGAUCAUACUUACGGUGUGUAAGGUCGUAUGCGUCCAACAAGAGGCUAGUAAAUUUACAAUUCUUUAAAAGUGGUCAUGUAAUUCAUUUGACUAUCUUUGAUAAGAAAUUUAGUUAAACCAUUCUGGGUAUGUACAUAGGGUAAUGAAUGCAAUCAGAAAAUUCUCGUGAAAUGAGUUCAACAACAUUGUCCAUUCGAAUGGGUUUAUCCUUUGUUCGGGAGAAUUUGCUCCUACUUUGAUAAGUUGAGCAAUCUAUUUAGUAAGAUCAUGCAUGGUUGUGUGUGAUAAGAGGCACACUUGAAAUCAUUUUAUAAAUGUUUCUAUGAGUACCAUGUAGUAUCUAAAUAAUUCCACAUAAUGGUUAACUAAUCCACAUAUAUCCCUGAAUGUAUUCAGGGAAGAUUGAGUGGCUCAUUUAGAAUUUUAAGGUGAGAGUUCCUUAAAAAUAAUUCCCCCUAUGGCACAUGCGGUGCACAUAUAAUAUGAUGAUAUGGAGAAUUUGUAACUUUUAAUUUGUGACCAACAGAAUUAUCAAUAAUUUUCUAAUCAUCCCCAAACCAGGAUGGCUAAGGCUAUCAAGCCUAAUAUUUAAUUUAUUAGUACUUAGAAUAUCAUUGUGUACGCAAGAAUAUGGAGUAUGAAUUGAAACAUACAUUCAAAUUUAUUGAAUAUUGCAUCCAAGGGAUAUGAUAUUGGACAUUUUACUACAUGUAGUAGUACAAGUAUAGGCUAAUAAUAUGUUGGGAUAAUUAGGAGAUUACCUGAGGUCUCCGAUAUUAUUGAGUGCAAAUGAGUUCAUCCUCCAUUUUCUGCACUCAAUUUUGGUCCUCCUUGUGAUGAAGAUUCUGAUAACAAUGCUUUACCAGAAUAUUUCUGGUUGUUAUUUGCAAAUUUUCAGGUUUAUCCCAUUGAACUUAUUGCCUUUUUAAUAAAUAUGUGGUGUGGUUUGACCAUAUGUUUGAGGGUUUGGUGGUCAUAGGUAUGAUAUUUAUAUAACCACACAUUUGACAAACUUGAAAGUUGUCUUUGUGAUCAUUUGAAAAUGACCGAUUCCUAUCAAGAGGUAAUUAUGUCUUUGGUUGUCUAUUAGCCUCGGUGACCUCCGCGGGCUCGCUGGCGGCCUCAGCGGCACGUCGGGCUCGGCCAUGAUCGACGGGGACGAGAGCUUCGACGGCGCCAAGGCGUACAAGGACAGCAAGGUGUGCAACAUGCUGACCAUGCAGGAGUUCCACCGGCGGUACCACGAGGAGACCGGCAUCACCUUCUCCUCGCUCUACCCCGGCUGCAUCGCCACCACGGGGCUGUUCCGGGAGCACAUCCCGCUGUUCCGCACGCUCUUCCCGCCGUUCCAGAAGUUCAUCACGAAGGGGUUCGUCUCGGAGGCGGAGUCCGGCAAGAGGCUGGCGCAGGUGGUGGCGGAGCCCAGCCUGACCAAGUCCGGCGUGUACUGGAGCUGGAACAAGGACUCGGCGUCCUUCGAGAACCAGCUCUCGCAGGAGGCCAGCGACCCCGAGAAGGCCCGCAAGGUCUGGGAGCUCAGCGAGAAGCUCGUCGGACUCGCCUGAUCUCCCACCCACCUCCGGCUCCGGCCACGUCCAGGCAAUGCAUGCAUCUAGGACGCCGAUGCUGAACUUGUCGCAUUUUUUAACGUUGGUAAUUACCAUUUUUACGUCUUUUUAGAAACUCAAUUACCCGGGAGAGGCCUUGCGAGUGUCGGCGAGAGUGCAUAGAUCUCGUGUGGAAGAUGUACAAUUUUCGGCGAACCAUGAAUAAUAAAACUGCAGGCCUGAUUGAGGAUGGCAUACAUUGUAGUCUGGAUUGAUUGAUUGAGUUGCUUAUUUUUAACAUUUCACUGCACAUUUAAAAAAUAAUAAAACAGAGCGUAUGGUUCUGUCUAAGAGCAUCUCCAACAACCGCGCUACGCGCUUUUUAGCGCGACUCGCCAUGGAUGAUUAGUGGAUGGAUGGGACUCGACACCUCGCACCAUAGCUCUGGCCCCUUGCAACACCGUCGGCUACCUUGGAGCAUCAUGUCGACAUCGUUGAACCGCCCCUGGUAGUCCCUAUCGAUCUCGCCUGGCUUGCAGCACGGGUGUCACACUAUUGUAGCUUGCAGACACCCCAGGUGCAGCUCCUGCCAUGUAGCCGGUUCGAGGAAGCAACAAUGCCGACCAUGGCACAAGGAGGAGCAUUUGACUCCGACGCCUCGCCGGGGACCCUGAUGUCAUCGCAGUUGCCCAAAUUGCAUGUCCGCCAACGCAGCAAAUCAUGCCGCUGAUCCCCGCAAAUCGCUUCGUCAGUUAUAGCUUUCACGUCACGGGGUCUGCCUAUGCAACAACAUGAAGCAUCAGUUCCAGCAAAACUCGCCAACGGAUCCAGCAAAUAACAUCAUCGAUUGUAGCAUCAACGUCGCAUGGUCUGCCUACUCAACAGAAAAAUCAAGCACCAGUUCCAGAAUAACUCAUCGACUGCUCGAGGAAAUCAUGUCGCUAGUUGUAUCAUCUACAUCGCAUGGUCUGCCUACGCAACAAAAAUGAGCAUAUGUUCCAGCAAAACUUGCAAAUGGUUGCAUCUUUUUGACGGUCGGUUUUAGCAUCUCACCGGUUUCGCCAGGACCUCACCUCCACCCGUUGCAGCUUCUGAUGGCGCCAGUCGCAGCUUCCGAAGGUGCCGGAUGCAACUUUACCACGGUUGGUUGCAGCACAGGUGUUGGUCCUCUGCUUGAGGGGGGGCAUGGGGAUUUGCGAGAGAAGCAUGCGGGAGGUCCUUGGGCCCUGGCAUGGUAAAGGAGAGGACGCCAUGGGAUUAGCGAGUGAUAGAGAAAGGGUGAGGAAGAUCGUCGGCCUGUUUAGGAGAGGGAGUCAUGAGGGGAUUUGGGGACAUCGAUGCUGAAGGGAUGCAUGGCCUCAACCAUGAGAAUGAGAGAGACAAUGGAUACAAGGGGAUCUGCGUCGAGGAAGAAGAUAAGGAGGAACGGGAUAGUGGUGUGCGGUCCCCACAACCAAUGGACCGGUGGAGGACACGUGGUCUGUUGGAUCAAGUUAGAUCCAACGACCAACACGUGAUCGGCGUGCAACUUCGGCCGGAUAGCAUCAUUUAUUUAAUUUUUUAUCAACUCCUUUGAGUUUUAUGUACAUAUUUAUCACCCUUUUAGGUUUGUGGGGGAAGUAUGGUGCGAAGGAGACAUGGUGCCAUGGCAAAGGUGAGGUGGACGUCAUCCGGUUUUAAAGGAGAAGACUUCAGCGAGAAAUGUCCCGCUAUGGCAUGAAAUCGAGCGCGAAGGUAAGGGUUCUGCGAGAAAAGGGAAGGGUGCAUCAUUGGGUGCGGUUUUUGUAUUGGAACUGUGUGUUAGUGGUAACGUGACGGAUAGUUCGGACAACCACAUUUCUCCCCCACAUAUGGGCUUGAUUUGGGGAGCUCAGACUGUCCAAAAGAUUGACUUUUGGGGAGCCUACUGGGCACCCAUUUGGUGUCCAAACAAUCCCAAACGUAUGAGGGAGAAAUGACCUUCGACCUUGAAGACGGCCUCAAUCAUUUGUUUGAUUUAUUUAUAUGCAUUGUAGCCUGUAGCAACGCACGAGCAUUCUACUAGUUGUACUUGCUCUAAUAUAUGGAGAAGGGAAAUCAUGGGCUGCCCAGCCCAUCAUGACGGAUCACCACGAUAUCGCUUUAGAAUUCAAUUUGCAUUCACUUUUUUUGAGUGGGGUGAUUUUUUUGUUAGGGAACGUAGUAAUUUCAAAAAAAUUCCUACGCACACGCAAGAUCAUGGUGAUGCAUAGCAACGAGAGGGGAGAGUGUUGUCCACGUACCCUCGUAGACCGACAGCGGAAGCGUUAUCACAACGCGGUUGAUGUAGUCGUACGUCUUCACGAUCCGACCGAUCAAGUACCGAANNNNNNNNNNNNNNNNNNNNNNNNNNNNNNNNNNNNNNNNNNNNNNNNNNNNNNNNNNNNNNNNNNNNNNNNNNNNNNNNNNNNNNNNGUACGGCACCUCCGAGUUCUACACACGUUCAGCUCGAUGACGUCCCUCGAACUCCGAUCCAGCCGAGUGUUGAGGGAGAGUUUCGUCAGCACGACGGCAUGGUGACGAUGAUGAUGUUCCACCGACGCAGGGCUUCGCCUAAGCUCCGCAACGGUAUUAUCGAGGUGUUAUAUGGUGGAGGGGGGCACCGCACACGGCUAAGAGAUCUCAAGGAUCAAUUGUUGUGUCUCUGGGGUGCCCCCCUGCCCCCGUAUAUAAAGGAGCAAGGGGGAGGCAGCCGGCCAAGGGGAGAGGCGCGCCAUAGGGGGGAGUCCUACUCCCACUGGGAGUAGGACUCCUCCUUUCCUUGUGGGAGUAGGAGAAGGGAAGGGGGAAGGAGAAAGAAGGAAGGGUGCGCCCCCCUUCCCUAGUCCAAUUCGGACCAGACCAUGGGGAGGGGUGCGGCCACCUUUUGAGGCCUUUCUCUCCUUUCCCGUAUGGCCCAUUAAGGCCCAAUACGAAUUCCCGUAACUCUCCGGUACUCCGAAAAAUACCCGAAUAACUCGGAACCUUUCCGAAGUCCGAAUAUAGUCGUCCAAUAUAUCGAUUUUUACGUCUCAACCACUUCGAGACUCCUCGUCAUAUCCCCGAUCUCAUCCGGGACUCCGAACUCCUUCGGUUUCAUCAAAACUCAAUAAAACUGUCAUCGUAACGUUAAGCGUGCGGACCCUACGGGUUCGAGAACUAUGUAGACAUGACCGAGACACGUUUCCGGUCAAUAACCAAUAGAGGGACCUGGAUGCCCAUAUUGGCUCCCACAUAUUCUACGAAGAUCUUUAUCGGUCAGACCGCAUAACAACAUACGUUGUUCCCUUUGUCACCGGUAUGUUACUUGCCCGAGAUUUGAUCGUCGGUAUCUCGAUACCUAGUUCAAUCUCGUUACCGGCAAGUUUCUUUACUCGUUCCGUAACACAUCAUCCCGCAACUAACUCAUUAGUCACAAUGCUUGCAAGGCUUAUAGUGAUGUGCAUUACCGAGUGGGCCCAGAGAUACCUCUCCGACAAUCGGAGUGACAAAUCCUAAUCUCGAAAUACGCCAACCCAACAAGUACCUUUGGAGACACCUGUAGAGCACCUUUAUAAUCACCCAUUUACGUUGUGACGUUUGGUAUCACACAAAGUGUUCCUCUGGUAAACGGGAGUUGCAUAAUCUCUUAGUCAUAGGAACAUGUAUAAGUCAUGAAGAAAGCAAUAGCAACAUACUAAACGAUCGAGUGCUAAGCUAACGGAAUGGGUCAAGUCAAUCACGUCAUUCUCCUAAUGAGGUGAUCUCGUUAAUCAAAUGACAACUCAUGUCUAUGGCUAGGAAACAUAACCAUCUUUGAUUAACGAGCUAGUCAAGUAGAGGCAUACUAGUGACACUCUGUUUGUCUAUGUAUUCACACAUGUAUUAUGUUUCCGGUUAAUACAAUUCUAGCAUGAAUAAUAAACAUUUAUCAUGAUACAAGGAAAUAAAUAAUACUUUAUUAUUGCCUCUAGGGCAUAUCUCCUUCAUUUUUAUGAGAAAAUUUUGAGUGGGGUAAAUAAUGUGCAUUUACUUGACCCUGAGCUCUAGGCAAAAGGAAAUAACAUGGAGGUUAAUGCGCAUCCUAAAUCAGCAGUUAAACCUCCCAUGGUUAUGCGCUGGCGAUUUUAACGAGAUCAUGUAUAAUCAAGAGAAUAAGGGGGGGGCAGCUAGAGCACAAAGCCAAAUGGAGAAUUUUAGAGCAUCUCUAGCGGACUGUGGAUUGACAGAUUUAGGCUAUGUGGGGGACAAAUACACAUGGCGCAAUCAGAGUUGGGAUGCUAAACGCUUUGUUAAAGAAAGAUUGGACAGAGCAGUGGGGACGAAGAGUUGGUGCACAAGAUUCCCUAAUUAACUUCAAAGUUUUGGGGACCCAUACCACUCAGAUCACAUGCCAGUAACCAUCCAAAUGGAAGAAUAUGGGAGAUCACAUAUGCCUAGGAGAAGGAUUCAUGGCUUCAGGUUUGAAGCCAGGUGGUUACAAGAAGAGGAGCUUGUGGUUAAUAAUGCUUGGGCCAAAGCUAGCAUACAAGGGGAACAUAAUACCCAGGGGAUGUUACGUAGGGUAGCAGGAGAGCUAGGACUGGGAUGCUAAUGUUUUAGGCGAUCUCCAAAAGCAUAUUAAAACCCUUAAGAAAGAACUAGAGGAGGUACGCAGAGGGGACAUGAACCAAGAAGGGGUCAGCAGAGAGCACUUAUUAAUGGAGAAGCUAGACCGUUUGGAACAACAACAAGAUACGCAUUGGAAACAACGAGCCCAUAUUAAGUGGUUGCAAGAUGGUGACAAGAACACAUCCUUCUUUCAUGCUUUUGCCUCCGAAAGAAAGAAAAGGAAUACCAUUUUUCGUGCUAGGGUUCCAAAAAACCACCACUUUUUUGUUUGUGACUGGUACCUACCACUUUUCUCGUCGGUUGUCUCAAAAAACCCAAAUCGCCCGUUGCUAGCGUUUUGAACCGUUUUCUGACGGUCCGGGCCCGCUUGUCAGGCCACGUCAGCACCGUGCGUGACGGCGAGGCCGUUAACGGCCGUUACUCGGACCGACCGGUGCGGUCGGACCGCACCCGCUCGCUCGCUGCCUUUCUCUCUCUAUCGGCAGCAUCUCUCUCUCUCGCUCCUCCUUUCCCCCGUGCUCUCUGUCUCUCACGACGAUGGCGGCGGCGAAGAAGAAGGACGACGGCGAGCCUAGGGCGAUAGCCAGCGGCGAGGGCGGUGCUCACUCCGAGGUCAACAAGUGGCUAGGCAGCGCAAGUUUCCCGACCCAGCGCUCGUCUGGGCCACCAACGCAGGAGGUCCAGAUCUCGCCGGCGUUCCGCGCGGCCAGGGCAGUGGCCAAAUGCAUCCACGCGGAUCCAGAAGGCGGGCGCCAGUGGGCCUCCUCACUUGGUGGCGUGGAAUAAGUUAUGAAUUGUUUUAAUUAUUUUUCUUAGUUUAUUUAUGAACUAGGGUUAGGAUUUGUUUCUUAGAUUGUUAAUGAAUUAGUUUCUUUGGUAUAUUAUUAUGUAUACAUUGUAAGCAAUAUAUGAAUUAGGGUUUAGGUUUGGAUGAUAUGUUGUGCAAGUGAAACUGUUGCAUACUUUUUAACUUGAAAAUCUGAAGAAAUCUGAAUGUGUUGUUUCUUUUUUUGCAUAGUUUGGAUGAUGAAGUAUGGGAAUUGAGGCUGCAUUUUCAGGGUAGAGACAACAUGGAAAGGAAGUUUUCCUUAUCAGAAAUGAAUUACCUGUUAUUGUUAGCACUUAUUGAACUUGAGGGCUAUGGGUUGGAUGUAGGGGAACGCAGCAGAAAACAAAAAAUUUCUGACCUACGCACCAGCCCAGGACCACUAUGGAGACUGCAUACAUGGUUUGAUCUUUUUCGUUACCGACUCGUAGCGCAGCGGGAAGUAGAGUCGAUGACGAUCGGCGGUGCAGAUCCCCGCAGCUAGGAUUUACAACCUCCCAACCGCGAGGAUGUAUACCCUCAUCUGCUCCUCAGACAGCCCUCCAGGAGGCGGUCGAACAGCCCCCCGGACGGUGUCGCGGACAGCCCUUCGGGAGGACCUUCGAAACUCGAACGGUCACUCGGACAGCCCUUCGGGAGGACCUUUGAAACUCGGACGGUCACACGGACAGCCCUUCGGGAGGCACUCAUGAACUAAGACCGAAACUACGAUCUCUCUACAGAGUUGCACACAUACGGUGUCAUCUAUCCGGCAGGGCUUCGCCGUCCAGAACUAGUUCCUGCCGGAACCCAGACAGCCUUACGGCUCUACGAAACUCUUUUCGUGGGAGGGAGAGAAGAAGCCAGAUAAUGCAUGGCAUGUGUAUGAGAGCAAGGGAUGAGUGUGGAGGGCUGCCCCUCCACCUCUAUUUAUAGGAAAUCCCAAGGGGGUAGGGUAGUUUCACAAAAAACCCAAAAUGCACAUGAAUGAAGUCCUUCCACAAGGACCUAGGAGUGAAACCAAGGAACAAGAGGGUCCCCAAGGGGGGGAUACCCCAUGUGGCCGGCCACACCCCCAUGAGGGGCCCAAAAAAUGGCUCCUAUCCAUCCAUGUCAUCCUCAAGAUCUUUUGGAGCAAAGCCCCAAAAGGUGGCUUUCCAUAAAGUAACCAUAAAGCUGAUUUUUCACUAUUCACGACGACAUUUUUCAGCGUCUGAUCGAACUGAAAAUAUUUAUGUGGGCUAAGAACAUUUCCAGUACCCACUAAAAUGAUUUUCAACGCGUUCCGAAACAAUUCCGGUUUUAGUGAUUUUCAUCUGCGAAACGCAUCUGAAGUGGCUCCGGCAGCUCCGGAACAUUUCCGGUUUUUAUCUCAGAAAAUUCCAAAAAGCUUCCAGAAUGAUUCUGGCAUCCUCCAAGAAUUAUCAGGCAUGUGCCGAAACCAAUUUGACUUAAUGGUGUAUCCCGAAACAACUUUUCGGUAUCAUCGAAACUUAUCCGAUGACCUCUCUCUGCGGUACGAUUCCGCUGUCCGAAACUUUUCGGUGUCCGAAACUUUUCCGGUGAUUUUCUCUCAGACUCCCUGUCUAGUAUUCAGCAGAUAGAUGACCCUUAAGCGUGUGACCCUAUAGGUUCGGUGAAGUAUAGACAUGACGCGGAACCCCUUCCGAUCAAUGAUCAACAUCGGAGCCGUGGACACCCAUAUUGACCCCUAUACCCACACGAAUAAAUAUUCGAGUGAACCUCCAGUUGCCGUGUGCUAUUCCUGUUGCUUCGCGAUAUGUUACAAAUACCCGAGGUGAGACAUGUUGGCAUUCCCGUGGAUCAACAACUUGUCCACUAUGCUAGUUACCUCGUUACCGAUAUUGUUCUCUUUUCUCGUUAUCGUGUUCCGGCAUCCCCGUGAUCAAAUCACAAAGUGUCUGGCCAGACGAUGAUGGAUACCGUAACACCGAGAGGGCCCAGAGAUAUCUCUCCAUCGUCGGAGGAGCAAAUCCCAAUCUUGAGCUAUCAAGUUACUUGACACACUUUUCCAUGAACCCGUAAGCCGCCGUAAUAGCCACCCUUUUACGGAUGACGUUUAACAAACCCCAAAGUUCAUGAAGCAAGCAUGAAGAAACUCGAUACUCUCAUGGUCUAAGGAAUCAUGCAAACGUUAACCAUCUCUGUGUUAUGUACCAAUAAACUUGUGACGAAUGAAUCUCAUAGCAUAACAUCAUGCCGGGUCGAUUCAACACAAAUGUUCUCUUAACAUUAUGCCCUCAAGGUUGCUGACAUAGACAUGCCCAUGAUCAGGAAAACAUAACCAUCAUGCAACACUUGAGCUAGUCUUAGAGGCCAGACUAGGAAUACAUUUUACCGUUUAUUAUUCCACACGUGCAUAUGAGUCUUCCUCCGAGCCUCGUGGUUAUUGCAGACUCGAGAACCAUAGCAGUUAUAGCAUGGAACAUAAACAUAAUUAUGAACUCGGAGAUAAAUAAUAUCAUUUAUUAUUGCCUCUAGGGCAUAUCUCCUACAUUGGAUGCCUAUCUGUCAUAUGUUAAGGAUGAGGGUAAGGGGCUGGAGGGCAUUGAGGUUUUGGACAGUGAUGAGAAGGUGGAGGAGAUGCUAGAUUUGUUUGCUGAGAAGAAAGUAUUGAACAUAACAGUGAGAGAGGCUAGUGACCCAAAUCCAGCAGAUGCAAACGUGGACCACACCUUGCUUGAAGAGCAGAUUCCAAUGAGUCAAGUUGGUGAUCCCAUUGUUUAUAGUGUUUCCCCAGAAGGUGUCCUUUUCCCUGUCUCAAAUUCUUCACAACCUCCAGUUGUGCCCGUUGAUCCAUAUUUUAACACACAGCAGAGCUGUAAUUUCAACAAUGGAAAAGAGGCAGUGGAAAUUGAAGGCAUUGAAGCAGAAGAUCAAGAUGAAGAUGAGUUGGACAAAUCCUCUUCAGAUUUUGAGUUUUUCAGGGGUGAUUACAGAGGGAAGAAAAUUUCAUACAAGUCUUGGGCUAGGGGAGAAGAUGAAGGUGGUGAAGGAACAAGUCAGCACUACAGGGAAGAGGAAGAGAUGGCUGAGCAUUAUUUUGGGGCUGCUUCUGAACCCUCAGAGUUUUGGCAGGAGCCAAAUGGUUCUGAAGAAGAUGAUGAAGAAGAAGCUUCAGAUCAUGUGAAAACUGUGGCACAGAAGAUACCUGUGAGGAAACAAGGCCCAACAAGCAGAUCACAUAGUGAGCCAGAUCACAUAAAGUUUGAAGAUUUCAUGCCAGAAGCUGAUGAGUUCUGCUUUCCAGGUGAUGAAGGCAUUUCUGAUGAAGAAGAUGAUGCACCUAGGUUGCCUUGUAGUAGGAAGAGAAAAUUGAAGAAGAAGAAGGAGAGAAUAUGGUAUGAUUCCUCUAGGCCUGAUGCACAUGAACAGUUUAGGAUUCAUUUGUGCUUUCUGAAUGUGGUAGAGUCCAGAGAAGCAUUGAGAAACUACCAUGUUAGGACACUUAGGAACUUUGAGUACCAUAGGAAUGAUCCAAGUAGGAUCAUAGCCUGGUGCUCAGAUAGAAAGCAUGGUUGUGAGUUUUAUAUUACUGUUUCUAAGAUUGCCCAUGAGUCAACCUUUAGCAUCAAGAAGAUGAAUCUUGAUCACACCUGUGGAGCAGGUGGAGAGAACACAAAGGUUACCAUGAAGUGGGUUGCAAUGGCUGUUGAGGAUACUGUAAGAUCCAAUCCUGGUGCAGGUGUUGAGACUAUACUGAGUUAUACAAAAAAGAAAUUUGGAGUACAUGUUCCAAAAAGUUUGGCCUACAGGGCAAGGAGGAAAGCAGUUGAUGUUGUGCAAGGGGAUCACAAGACACAAUACUACAGGUUAAGAGACUAUCUGCAGUGUGUUUUGGACACAAACCCUGGUAGUAGGUGUGUUGUGACAACAAAGGAAUUUGAACUCCACCCAGCACCUACCCCAAGGUUUCAUUACAUGUUUUAUUGUCUGUUUGCUUGUAAGGAGGGGUUCCUAAAUGGUUGCAGGCCUUUCAUAGGUAAAUCUAGUCUGUAUAGUGCUUAAAUAGGGAUUGCAUUACAUGUUGCUGCUUACUAAUGGCUUAAAAUGCAGGUCUUGAUGGAUGCUUCAUCAAACUAAGCACUGGGCAGCAAAUCCUGGCAGCAACAGGGAGGGAUGGCAACAACAACAUCUUCCCUAUUGCAUUUGGUGUUGUUGACAAGGAGGAGACAGAUAGUUGGACUUGGUUUCUUACACAGUUAAGGACAAUAAUUGGUAGUGGCAACAAGUUUGGGCCCUACACAAUUAUGUCAGACAGGCAAAAGGUACAACUACUCUUCAUGAUUUAACUGCUUUUCCUUUCACUAUGUACUGCUUUUCCUUGCACUAUGUAAUGCUUUCUCUACUUACUUCACUAGUUAUUAAUACAAAAUCAAUGAACAGGGUCUGCUCAAUGCAAUAGAGGAUGUAUUUCCUGAUUCCCCUCAAAGAUUUUGUUUAAUACACAUAUAUGCCAACUUCCAAUCAGCUGGGUUUAGAGGGGAUGAAUUGAAAAAACAUCAAGACCAGGCUGCAUAUUCUUUCACUAAGCAUGGGCAUGAUCUGGGCAUGGAAGCAUUGAAGAAAGAGAGUGAGGAGGCAUGGAAGUGGUUGUCCAACAUACCAGUCCAUACUUGGGCCAGGCAUAGAAUGGAUACUAUAUGCAAGACAGACCUUGUUGUAAACAAUCUUAGUGAAGUUUUCAACAGGAUGAUUCUGGAUGUUAGGAACAAGCCCAUAAGGACAAUGCUUGAAGGAAUGAGGACAAAACUCAUGAUCAAGUUUCAGAAGAUUAGGGAGAAGACAGAGACAUGUAGGUGGGAUAUCACACCCACUUACUCUGAGAUAUUGGAGGAGGCCAAGAAAUGGGCAAAAUAUUGUGAUGCAUAUAUGGCUGGACCAGGCAUUUGGCAAGUUACAAGUAGUUCAGAAAAGACCUACUGUGUAAACCUAAACAACUACACUUGUGACUACAGGAGGUGGGAUAUGACAGCUGUUCCAUGUAGUCAUGCUAUAGCAACAAUGCAGAAGGUGAAGCUACACCCUGAAGAUUUUGUCCAUGAGUUCUUCAAGAAGCCCCUCUAUUGUGAAACCUACAAGCAUAUUAUAUACCCUAUUCCAGGCCCUGAUUGUUGGCCACACACCAUGGGGGAUGACAUAUCUCCUCCAGUAUUCAAAGAAAAGAAGGGUAAAAAGCAGAUAGCUAGGAGGAAAGGACAUUUUGAGGUGCCUGCCAAGAAGGAUACAUCAAGAAUUGGGACAGUGACUUGUAGCAAUUGCAAUAAGCAAGGUCACAGAUAUACCACAUGUGGUAUUCCACUGAAACCCAAACUGCAGAUGAGAAAGAAUAAUCACCAGGUAUGCUUAUUGAUAAAGAAAUUUCUGUUUCAUAGGCUAGGUGGUUUAAUUCUAAUUUGCUUUGUUAAAUGUGCAGGAGAAUAGGUCAGACUACUCUUCAUCUACCAGAGCUACUACAGGUGUGGUUGCACCACCACCACCAUCAGCACCAUCAGCACCAGCCAUAGCUAGGAAGAGGCCUGCAACAGCCACAGCUACUCCAGGACCAGCAAAGAGGAACAAGGCAGCUGCUUAUGCUACUCCAGCACCUGCCAAGAAGACCAAAGCAACCAAGGAGACAAGGGCUCCUAGCACAUCUUCACCAGCCAAGAACACAAGGUCAUCCAUUGCCUCUCCAGCAAAGAACACGAGAGCAUCAACAGCUAGCAGAGGAGGGGGGUACACAUGUUUCAAUGCUCCAAGGCAAGCUGCUCACUCUGAGAUGGAGAUUGGGUCCAAGAGGGUUAGGAAGCCAACUGGAAAGUGGAAGGCAUAUUUCACUGCUAGUGGUAACUAUUGAGUGCUGGAAAGUUGUGUUGUUUGCACUGUAUGAGUGCUGAAACCUAAGUGUUUGCUUGCUGAAACCUAUGUAUUUGUUUGCUGAAACUUGAGUGUUUGCUUCCUAAAACCUAUGUAUUUGCUUCCUAAAACCUGAGUAUUUGGUUCCUGAAACCUAUGUAUUUGCUUGCAUUAUGAAACCUGAGUGUUUGCAUUAUGAAACCUAAGUGUUUGUGACUUCUGGGUUGCACUUCCUGAUGCAAAGAUUGUUUCAAACUUCUGGGUUGCACUUCUGGGUUGCACUACCUGAGUGUUUGAAACUUAUGAGCUUUGCAACUGAUGCACAGAUUGAUAGAAACAUUCUUUCAAAUAAUCAAACAUUCAUAGAUUCCACCAUGCAAACAUUCUUUCAUACAAACAGUUGUACAGAAAGUGGAAGGGAUACAUAGCUCAUACUCUUAUUCAUAAUUAAAAUAACUACUAACAACUCUCAAUCGUAACGAUCGAAGAAACGGCGCCACUUUGCUCUGGUAGAAGGGUGAGGAGUGAUUACUGCCUGUGCCCUAGCCCACUUGAUGAUCUUCCCUGAGCUCUUGCGCCUGCCGCCAGGGACAAGAACUGUGAACUCAUCUGAGUUGCACUUCUCCAAGAUCUUCUCUGCCAGCCUCCUCUUGAACUCCAGCUCCCACUCUAGCUCCCAAGCUGAUGGCAUGGGCACCGCAGGGCGAGCCCUUUGCCUCCUCACAUCCACUGCAUGCACUGCCUCCUCUUCCUCAUCUGUCACCUCCCCAAGCUCUGGAUCCAUCUAGGGUUUCUAGAGGUGGGGUGUGGCGGCUGUGUUCUGAAGGGAGGAGGGUGGUGGGAGUAGGCUAUUUAUGAGCAGUGGAGGGUGGGUGGAGUAGGCCUGGGUUUGUAAAUAUAACUAGGCCACAAAGCCCAGGUACAAAGCACUAAUAAACAUAACUACCUUUUAAACAUAAAAAAAACACAUAGCAUAGUCCAGCGGUGCUUAUCAUUGACUCCAUAACGUAGCAUCAGAGGUUCAAAUACAAGCAGAACGUUCAUUACAACUUAGUUCAUAACUUAGCAUUAAAGGUUCUAGCAGCAUAAACUACAGUUCUUAACAUUGGCAUAGACAUAGACUAGAUUAGCUUCACAUUCCCCAAAAUGUACACCCCAUAUCUUCACAUCAGAUUGUUAGGCCACAUACUUAUAAAGGCCUUGGAUGUACUUCACCAUCUGCAGAACACACUUCAUGAAUCAAGGAUGGCCUUGAUUUUCUCAAGUUUCUCCUUGCUUGCAUGCCCAUCAUUCAGCAGCUCAUUCACCACAUGCUCAAGCUUGGCCUUCUCUAUCUUAAGCAAAUCUCUCUCCUGUUCAACCUCCUUCAUUGCCUUCCUGGUAUUCUUGAUAAUGUCAGCUUGACUCUGUAAAAUGCACCUUUGUUCCUUGGCAAGUUUGAGCUUCUCCAUCUGAACCUCCAACCUAGCACUUUCUUCUACCUCUUUCUUCUUCUUCUCAAAUUCUUCCUCCUCAACUACCUUCUGGUAAUCCAUGUAGUCUACCCUACCAUCCUGCCAAUCAAACAUCUUGGACAAGCUUUGUGCACUCAAUGCACAGCUUGUCAUUUUCAGUCUUAAGCUUGGCCAAAUGCUUCUCAUACUUCUGCUUAUCAACUACCCUGCCACAAUUAUGUUCAUGGUACAUGUCCCACAGCCUGGACAAGCAAUUCUGAAGAAUUGGAUGCCUGGGCUUGUCAACCCACUCAGUAACACCACAGUUAACACCUUCACUCUGCAUUUGGAAAUUGAAAUAUACAUCACUAAGUGCACUCAAUUUCAUAACAACAAAUCAUAUCAGACUAAGAAACUGAAGGUGAGGCUUAAGUAAACUGAAUAUGUUGUUUAAUAUAACUCAAACUAUAACUGAAACCCAACCUGCUUGUACAAGUACAUUCACAGAUAUAUGCUUCCUAUACAUAAGCAUUUUUUAUAGUAACCAUAUCCCUCAAUACCUUAAUACAAGGCAUAUUGCAGUUCAUCCUAAAUAAUACAGUGUAGGUUCAGAAGAGCAACUUGUCAACAUAAUAUUGUGUGGGUUCAGAACAGCAACUUGUCAACAUAAUAUUGUGUGGGUUCAGAACAGCAACUUGGCAUCCUUGUAAAUACAUGUGUGGGUUCAGAAGAAAAUGAUUCCAAUUAAGGUACUAUACCUGCGGCACUAGACAACCAUAGAAACGCCUUCCAGUUAAGGUUCCUUCAAAUGCCACACACUUAAUUGGCCUCAUGUGGUGCAUCAUGCAGGUGGGUUCAGAAAGCUCCAGCUGGCCACAGAAAAGAGGCUCCACGGUGGUGUCAGGGGUCUCCUGCAUGAACACAUCAACAAAAUCACCUUAGCUCACAGAACCAGACAUAGAUCACAAAUUAAUUCCCAAAUCCAGCAAGAACCCUAACCCUAACCCUAGUUUUCAAGCAUACAUAAACAUAGCUCAAACAGCAACCAUAACCCUGCCUACUAAAUAACAGUAACCAAAGCUUACCCUAGCUCACCAAGAUGAACACUAACCUAAUCUAGCUCCUAGAUGAACCCUAACCCUAGCUCAGCAGAUCGAAAAACUUACCCAAAGAGCCAUGUCCAUGCUUGUGAUGUCGCACUCAUCCUCUGAGCUCGUAUCCCCGUCAUUCCAGGAAGGCAUGGCGGCGGUGGAGCUUCCACAGCGCAAGUCGCCGCCGGCGUCGAAGAGCAGAGAGGAGAGGAGAGUGACAGCGAGAGAGAGAUGAGUGCGGGCCGGGGAGCAGAGUGAGAGGGAGGGAGACGACUUAAUGAGCGAGCGAGCGGGUGCAGUCCGACCGCACGGGUCGGUCCGAGUAACGUCCGUUAACGGCCUCGCCGUCACGCGCGGCGCUGACGUGGCCUGACAGGCGGGCCCGGACCGUUAGAAAACGGUUCAAAACGCUAGCAACGGGCGAUUUGGGUUUCUUGAGACAGCCGACGAGAAAAGUAGUAGGUAUCAGUCACAAAAAAAGUGGUGGUUUUUUGGAACCCUAGCACGAAAAGUGGUAGUUUUAUGCUAUUUACUCUCGACCUCGCCUCGCUGGACAGCGUCCGACAGUUCGUCGACGCGUUCCGCCGUGCCGACAUGCCGCUGGACGUGCUCGUGUGCAACGCCGCCAUCUACCGCCCCACGGCGCGCACGCCGACAUUCACCGCCGACGGGCACGAGAUGAGCGUGGGCGUGAACCACCUCAGCCACUUCCUGCUCGCCCGCCUCCUCAUGGAGGACCUUCA
rnacentral:lncRNA from 1 species